AGAGCAAGUGGUGGAUGCCUUGGCUAGUAGAGGCGAUGAAAGACGUGCCAGGCUGCGAUAAGUCUCGGGGAGCCGUCAAGGGGCUUUGAUCCGGGAAUUUCUGAAUGGGGCAACCCAACUAAUAGAGAUAUUAGUUACCGUAUAACGGAGCGAACGAGGGGAAUUGAAACAUCUUAGUACCCUCAGGAAAAGAAAUCAAAAGAGAUUACGCUAGUAGCGGCGAGCGAACGCGUAAGAGGGCAAACCACUAGUUUACUAGUGGGGUUGUAGGACUGCAAUAUAGACUAAACUUAGCUAAUAGAACAACCUGGAAAGGUUAGGCACAGAGGGUGAUACCCCCGUAUAUGAAAGCUUUGUUUUACUUAGCAGUAUCCUGAGUAGGGCGGAACACGUGAUAUUCUGUCUGAAGCUGGGUAGACCACUAUCCAACCCUAAAUACUACUACUAGACCGAUAGUGCACAAGUACCGUGAGGGAAAGGUGAAAAGAACUGAGGUGAUCAGAGUGAAAUAGAACCUGAAACCAUUUGCUUACAAUCAUUCAGAGCCCUAUGAUUUAUCAGGGUGAUGGACUGCCUUUUGCAUAAUGAGCCUGCGAGUUGUGAUGUCUGGCGAGGUUAAGGAAACCCGGAGCCGUAGCGAAAGCGAGUCUUAAUAGGGCGUUUAGUCAGACGUUGCAGACCCGAAACGAUGUGAUCUAUCCAUGAGCAGGUUGAAACCGGUGUAAGAGCCGGUGGAGGACCGAACCCGCUAGCGUUGAAAAGCUAUGGGAUGACUUGUGGAUAGGGGUGAAAGGCCAAUCAAACAUCGUGAUAGCUGGUUCUCUCCGAAAUAUAUUUAGGUAUAGCGUCAUGUAGUAACACUAGGGGGUAGAGCACUGAAUGGGCUAGGGCAUACACCAAUGUACCAAACCCUAUCAAACUCCGAAUACCUAGUGUGUAAUCAUGGCAGUCAGGCGGCGAGUGAUAAAAUCCGUCGUCGAGAGGGGAACAACCCAGACUAACAGCUAAGGUCCCUAAAUCUCAUUUAAGUGGAAAACGAUGUGGAGUUACUUAAACAACCAGGAGGUUGGCUUAGAAGCAGCCAUCCUUUAAAGAAAGCGUAAUAGCUCACUGGUCUAGUGAUUCUGCGCGGAAAAUAUAACGGGGCUAAAAUGAGUACCGAAGCUUUAGACUUAGUUUUACUAAGUGGUAGGAGAGCGUUGUAUUUGCGUUGAAGGUAUACCGGUAAGGAGUGCUGGAGCGAAUACAAGUGAGCAUGCAGGCAUGAGUAGCGAUAAUUGGGGUGAGAAUCCCCAACGCCGUAAACCCAAGGUUUCCUACGCGAUGCUCGUCAUGAUACUGUCGAGCCAAGAAAAGUUUCUAAGUUUAGUUAUAGUUGCCCGUACCGUAAACCGACACAGGUGGGUGGGAUGAGUAUUCUAAGGCGCGUGGAAGAACUCUCUUCAAGGAACUCUGCAAAAUAGCACCGUAUCUUCGGUAUAAGGUGUGCCUAACUUUGUGAAGGAUUUACUCCGUAAGCAUUGAAGGUUACAACAAAGAGUCCCUCCCGACUGUUUACCAAAAACACAGCACUCUGCUAACUCGUAAGAGGAUGUAUAGGGUGUGACGCCUGCCCGGUGCUCGAAGGUUAAUUGAUGACGUUAGCUCUGCGAAGCGUUUGAUCGAAGCCCGAGUAAACGGCGGCCGUAACUAUAACGGUCCUAAGGUAGCGAAAUUCCUUGUCGAUUAAAUAUCGACCUGCAUGAAUGGCGUAACGAGAUGGGAGCUGUCUCGAAGAGGGAUCCAGUGAAAUUGUAGUGGAGGUGAAAAUUCCUCCUACCCGCGGCAAGACGGAAAGACCCCGUGGACCUUUACUACAGCUUGACACUGCUAUUGGGAUAAAAAUGUGCAGGAUAGGCGGGAGGCUUUGAUCCAUAGACGCCAGUUUAUGGUGAGCCAUUGUUGAGAUACCGCUCUUUUUUAUUCUGAUAGCUAACUAGCUUGAGUUAUCCUCAAGUAGGACAAUGUCUGGUGGGUAGUUUGACUGGGGCGGUCGCCUCCCAAAAUGUAACGGAGGCUUACAAAGGUUGGCUCAGAACGGUUGGAAAUCGUUCGUAGAGUAUAAAGGCAUAAGCCAGCUUAACUGCGAGACAUACACGUCAAGCAGAGACGAAAGUCGGUCUUAGUGAUCCGGUGGUUCUGUGUGGAAGGGCCAUCGCUCAAAGGAUAAAAGGUACCCCGGGGAUAACAGGCUGAUCUCCCCCAAGAGCUCACAUCGACGGGGAGGUUUGGCACCUCGAUGUCGGCUCAUCGCAUCCUGGGGCUGGAGCAGGUCCCAAGGGUAUGGCUGUUCGCCAUUUAAAGCGGUACGCGAGCUGGGUUC
rnacentral:rRNA from 1 species